rnacentral:rRNA from 1 species
GCCUGUGGUCAUACCUCCCUGAACAUGCCUGAGCUCAUCUGAUCUUGGAAGCUAAGCAGGAUUGGGCCUGGUUAAUACUUGGA